UACGGAGGAUCCGAGCGUUAUCCGGAUUUAUUGGGUUUAAAGGGAGCGUAGGUGGAUUGUUAAGUCAGUUGUGAAAGUUUGCGGCUCAACCGUAAAAUUGCAGUUGAAACUGGCAGUCUUGAGUACAGUAGAGGUGGGCGGAAUUCGUGGUGUAGCGGUGAAAUGCUUAGAUAUCACGAAGAACUCCGAUUGCGAAGGCAGCUCACUGGACUGUUGACUGACACUGAGGCUCGAAAGUGU
rnacentral:rRNA from 1 species